UUAUGAGGUUUUUAAGUUAUUAAAACUUUGACUUAUUGACUUUUGACUUUAAGAUCUUUGAUUUCCAAUGUAAGACACAAUAACUUUUAAUCGCAAACGAUUCACAAUACUUUGUGGGGAGAACCGCUAAACAGAUAUCAAUGCAUUGAUUUUGGAGUUGUUAAAAAUCCGUGCAUUUCAAACAAGCGAAGUUAAUGUCGUAUCUAGCCCCCGUUGAAAUGAAAGGCCGUCUUUACCCACCAGGAUAUGUGAUAAAGGUCAGACGGUGUCUGGCGUAGAUCAUGCCGGUUACAGAUACAUUCAGUCAAGUUGUAAAAAUCAUAUACAUAAAUCAACGUGUAUGAGUAUUAAAGAUGUAUGUUUUUAGGGCCUCCUCUACUGAAGUUUAUUAGAUUUUAGAGGUGUUCUCAAGAGACACCCACAGGGCUACCCAACCUUUAAACAAUAAAGGAUUUGUCAUGCUCAUUACCUGCAAAUUAUCUUCAAGCCGUGCUACGUUACAAAUCCAACAAUAAACAAAACAAUGGCAGGCAACUACCAGGGUGAGUUUUUAUAUAAAUUAUUUAAAUAUAUUUUAAAGUGAAUAUUUGUUUAAUGUCUCAUGGAUGAUCUCUAGGUGGUUUUGAGAAUCAGGAUUUCGAUGAAGGUUUGGAACAGAUCCUUGAAGAGUUAUACGAGCAAGCUGUUAUCGACAAUCAAGCGGUGAUAAUUACUCCAGAAAACAUUUCACAAGAGGUUGUGAUUAGUACCGAAUCAUAACACGAUCUAAGACAUGUCACGAAUCCCACCCCCGCCGACGCUCUGGCUUCCGAAGGAGCUUCUCACAACCUCCCAGAUGUCUCAAGCGUUCGCACUGAAGUUAGCGUUACAUGUAGGCCGCGUCACUCAGAGGGUCAGGGGGUAAAAUGUUUGAGGUUACCGGAACGGGAAACGGAUGAUAUUCCAACUAACAGUCGUUUAAAGGACUUCGGAGAAUAAUGCAUUUACAGAGCAAGGAUAUGAUGAAGGAAGACUAACAGCCUGGACUGAUUCGAUGUUAGAUGACUGGGACCAGUUGUCUUUUAACGAUUCGGCAAGCGGGGAGGAAACGGAAGAGUUACCUCACGAAAAUCCUCAAGAACUGUUCCGUGAACGUGAUUUAAAUAGAAGGCUCGAUUAUGACAUGCUUCGCCGUGUUAAUCGACAGUUUGACACACUUUUUGAUUUGAGCGGUCAAGCAUUGUCCUAUCUGGGUGCAGAAGAGAUCGUUGCCACGAACAGCUAUAUGGUGUAUUUCGGCAGUUUCAACAAAGAACUUUUAAAUCUUAUGCAAAGAAUGUUAUCAGAUUUGUACCAGCGUGUUAUGCGUGAUCGCCCUUGAUAUGUAUUGUAUUGUUGUUUUUAUUAUUAUUAUUUUUUAUUAGUUUAUUUUUUGACAUCGAUUCGUUAUUACCACCGAAUAUUUCUUACAUUAUUGUUUGUUAUUGACAAUGAGUCAUUAUUAUAGUCAGGUAUUUCUUACAUUUAUUAUUGUUCUGUUCUUGAUAGUGAAUUAUCAUUAUCACUAGUUUCUUUCAUUUAUUAAUAUUGUUUGUUGAUGUCAUUGAUUUAUACCUUAAAGUAUUGCAUGUUAUUGUCUCCCAUAUUAGGUUUUGUUUUACUUGCGGAGAAAAAGGUGUUUUGAAUUUAUACUUACUGUAUGUUUCUGUUUUUGUUAUCUGGUUAUGUCACAUUGUGAAUUGGGGUUGGUGUUUUCAGGAGUGUGCACGCUUGUCUUUAAACUUGAAAAGAGGGUGUGUUUUCGAUUUAAAAAUAAAUAAAUAAAUAAUAUUUCAAAAUGAGUAGUAAAAGAUGAUUUACAUACCCACACUUCAGAAGAUGAUCAGAGAUCAUUAAGACCCAGAUAUGAUUUUCAAAACAAUACACAACAGUUACGUGAAAUUAUUAACAAUCAUUUACAGAUGUUACCACCUAAUCCUCUUAACAUGAUAGAUAGAUUACAUGAGCUUAUAGACGAACAACAUGAAUGGUUGGGUGCAGCUAUAAACAGCGAUGAUCAAUUCGGUGCAGGACCUUCUAAUAACGAGCCCUCAGGUUAUGAUCCCACAGCUCCAGAUAUGGGUCUCAGUCAGCCUUACAUAGAUAGACUAGUGAGAGAAGGAGGUACGUGGGUGAUUUUACAAUUGUCACAAGACCUCGAUUUAAUGGUUAAGAAAUGCAGGGGUAUGUAACAUCACGUGACACUAGCCACCUGCUCACGCGCACAGAGACCAUUGUGUGGAAUAAAAAGAAGUUCACGCUGCAUAAUAGAGCAGUUUUGAAAAGAUUCUAAGUUGUAUAUGACAAGCGAGUGCUACUACCCGAUUACAGCACACUUCCUUAUGGCUACUAAUGGUAUUUCUAGCACACAAAAUGUGUAUGUUGAAGAGGAUUUUGACUUUCGAUUGCAAAACCCUUUCUCAGCCUUAAUCAGCCUAAUCGGCCCAUCCGGAAGCGGGAAGACUGUCUCUUUAUAAAAAAUGUAUUGUGUAAUGCACACAAGUUGAUCAACGUAAAAAUUGACAGUAUUGUAUUUUUAUACAGUUGUUGGCCACCUUUGUAUGACGAACUGUUGUCAUUGUAUGAUAUAAAAUGUAUUGAAGGUAUUACAAACUCUUUAACGGAUGAAACUUUAUUACCUCCUAAUGUCAAUGUAUUAAUUAUCUGUGAUGUUCUGAUGUGGCAAGCCUUUUCAAACGAUGAACUCUUGCGCGCUUUCACACAAUAUGUUCAUCAUAAACCAUUUUCUAUCAUAUUGAUAACCCAGAACCUGUUUUUUUUCACGGUAAAACCAGCAGGACUAUCACACUGAAUACUCACUACCUUAUUUUGUACAAGAGUCCAAGAGACUCGAUGCAAAUAAUACUUUAGGACGUCAGAUUUACCCAGGAAAUACAAAGUUCUUUAUGGAUUGUUAGAAGGAUGCUACCAAUCAACCUUACAGAUUCCUUUUGAUUGACUUUAAAGCUAAAACACCAGCGUGUUUUCAACUCAGAUCAGGAUUGUUUUCAGAUCAACAGGUGGUGUAUGUACAGAAAAGACUAUGGUGGAUACUGUUGGUGAAAAUGAGUGAUUUUCAAACUUACCUAUUUUAAAACUAUUAUAUAAGGCUUCACCGAGACAACACCACAUUAUUUUACAGUCAACGUCAGAUCAGCUAAUUGAUAUCCCUGUGUGAGGUAGCUCUUAAUGUAUUUCACAGUAACAUACCUCUAAACACCAACCAGCUCCGGAGGUUAAAAAAGAUAAAACAGGAGAUCACAUAUGCCACUAGUAAAAAGAUUAACAUCAAAAGAAAAAAAACGGUUGAUUGAUCAACGAGGCGGUUUUCUUGUACCUCUGUAAAGUGUGGCAAUACCAUUUAUCACUAGUUUAAUAACCUCCAGACAGCAUUAGGAAUGGAAUAUGCCGAAAAGCUUUACCUAAUCCCUCAGAAUCAGAUGAAUAAAUUAAGAACUGCAGGUGUUCGUGAGACAAUUCAACAAGCUGUGGAGAACGAUUUAGAUACAGCUAUAAGAAACGUAUUGCAAAGGAGUGAUUUAGAUUAACAUGGGAAGGCUAAACUUUAUUCCAGCGUCUUACAGAGGUUUUUAAUUAUAGUAAAACAAGGUGAUUUGGAGAGUAGUACUUUAACUCUUUCACUACCGAAAAUGGACACUAUUCAUGCCGAUGAACCUGCUAAUACACCUGCUACUGCACCUGCCACCGCACCUGUUAGUGCACCUACUGCUUCACCGUCGCAUGAUGAAGGCGAGGAUCAGAUGUCGACGAAAUCUCUCAAAGAAGUUUAAACAACAUCAAAUUCAUUCUGAAUAAAAUGUCUAAUGCCAAACAAGUGUAUUCAUGGACAAAUUCUGGCGAGUUUGUAUUUAAAGAGAAUGUUAUAUACCAUUUUCCACAAUCACGAAUCCGCAGGUUAAACGCAUAGUUGAAACCCUUAAAAAGAAAAUCGCCUAAUCCCAUGAAAAAAGGGGUUCGUAAAAAGCACACGUCAAAGACUAUGUCACUAUC